UGGGGAAUAUUGGACAAUGGGCGCAAGCCUGAUCCAGCCAUGCCGCGUGAGUGAAGAAGGCCUUAGGGUUGUAAAACUCUUUCGCCGGGGAAGAUAAUGACGGUACCCGGAGAAGAAGCUCCGGCUAACUUCGUGCCAGCAGCCGCGGUAAUACGAAGGGAGCUAGCGUUGUUCGGAAUUACUGGGCGUAAAGCGCACGUAGGCGGACUUGUCAGUCAGGGGUGAAAUCCCAAGGUUCAACCUUGGAACUGCCUCCGAUACAGCAAGCCUAGAGAUCGGGAGAGGUGAGUGGAAUUCCUAGUGUAGAGGUGAAAUUCGUAGAUAUUAGGAAGAACACCAGUGGCGCAGGCGGCUCACUGGCCCGAUACUGACGCUGAGGUGCGAAAGCGUGGGGAGCAAACAGGAUUAGAUACCCUAGUAGUCCCUGAGCGGGCUGGCAAGGCGCAU
rnacentral:rRNA from 1 species